GAUGAACGCUGGCGGCGUGCUUAACACAUGCAAGUCGAACGAUGAAGCCCAGCUUGCUGGGUGGAUUAGUGGCGAACGGGUGAGUAACACGUGAGUAACCUGCCCUUGACUCUGGGAUAAGCCUGGGAAACUGGGUCUAAUACUGGAUAUGACUUCUCAUCGCAUGGUGGGGGGUGGAAAGAUUUAUUGGUCUUGGAUGGACUCGCGGCCUAUCAGCUUGUUGGUGAGGUAAUGGCUCAGCAAGGCGACGACGGGUAGCCGGCCUGAGAGGGUGACCGGCCACACUGGGACUGAGACACGGCCCAGACUCCUACGGGAGGCAGCAGUGGGGAAUAUUGCACAAUGGGCGCAAGCCUGAUGCAGCGACGCCGCGUGAGGGAUGACGGCCUUCGGGUUGUAAACCUCUUUCAGUAGGGAAGAAGCGAGAGUGACGGUACCUGCAGAAGAAGCGCCGGCUAACUACGUG
rnacentral:rRNA from 1 species